rnacentral:rRNA from 1 species
GGGGGAUCACUAUUGGACACGAGCUCUUACACCGCAUAAUCUCUUGCCACCUGGCAGGGGAACCUUCGGGCCUCUCGCGUGACGAUUAUGCCUGGUGCCAUUAGCUUGUUGGUGAGGGAAUGGCUCACCAAGGCCCCGAGCCCUAAUUGGUCUGAGACGAGGAAGGGCCAUCCUGGACCUGGGACCUGAGACACACUCCUAACUCAUGCAGGAGGGGGGAAUAUUGCAUCUUGGGGGAAGCCCUGAUGCCUGCCUGCCGCGCGCCUGAAGAAGGCCUUCGGGUUGCAGAUCACUUUCCUCUGGGAGGAAAGAAGAGCCAGGACUAUCGGAAUUGAUCGACCCCUCCUACAGACUAACCACCGGCUCACUCCUAGCUACCAGCCGCGAUACUACGGAAGACGCAAGCGGUAAUCG